rnacentral:lncRNA from 1 species
UGGAAGUCUAUCAAGUCUUGUCGGCAUAUAGGUACAUGUGCUUACAUAUGCUUCAAGUGUUCAGAUAAUGCGCUAAGACAGACAGACAGAUGAUAGUGACAAAGCUCCGCACAAAUUAAAAUAAACCGUGUAGCAUUUCCUAUGAACACUUUGAUACAGAUUGCUAGAAGAACAGAAAAAAGCAACACCUAGAGAAAAGAGAGUAAAGAAAAACAAGAUGUCUUGAAAAUGAAAUCAGUAAUCUUUCAUGGGGAAUGAUUACUCAUUUCUCCGAGUUCAAUUGAUGCUAAUUGCAGGAAACGUGCCUGACUAGACUGUACAUGAUAUUUCUAUGAAGUCUAUGCCUCUAUGGUAAACGUGGGAUUAACUGGUUUGAUCAAUAGGCGGCACUGUUGCAAAGGACAUGGCGUGUCGCAUUUCUGGACUUCAUCAAUUUUCGCGAAAUUUCUGUUCCAAAGGGAAGACAAUGACGUCUCCUUCCACCCACACCUUACCUCGUUUUCUGCUAUGUACCUUUUCCUUUCUUCCUGGUCCUUGUAAGGUGUCUUGAUACGGUUGAUUUAUGAAGCAAUGAGGGAAAAGUUCAAGGGAGAAGCGGAAAAAUUGGGCUGGAUUUUGCUAAUGCCUAAGGUGCCAUAAGCGGUUUAGCCCAAAGUAAGAUAGCACACAUUUUGCUGCAGUUUGGACUUUAAAUAAUGAAUUUUUUUUCAAAAAAAAAUGUGGGCUGCAAAUUUCUUAACAUAUCGCUAAUCCCACUUGAUCUAACGCUGCCAGUGAAAGGAGGUUUAGAAAGUAAACAAGCAGUUAACCAAGGCAGGAUGCGAUGCAUUGAGUUGAUGAAGAUAUGAAAGCAGUCCUACACCUCACACUAGGUCCCU